GAAGCCUUACCCAGGGGAGAGCUUCUACAUCACCAUGCUGGGCCUGCUCUUCUCCUGCCUGGCCGGUGUGAGCAGCCUGGGGGACCCCACCUCCACCCAGAGGGACUACACAGCUGUGGUGGAGUGGGACGACAGUGACACAGAGCCCCUUACCCCCAGGGAGCAGGGAGUGGGACAGUCUGAUGAAGAGGAGGGGGUAGGAGACGUGUUGCCUGAACUGACUCAGGGGGAGGUGGGUGGAAGUGGAGACUGCUAAAGGGGUUUGAAUGUGUGGCCCAAAAGGCUUAGUUUCGGACUAGAAUGCAAACCACACCACACAUGGCCUGUAACAGACUUAAUUAGACAGCAGUGCUGGCGCCUUCCCUGGUCAUGUUUUGAAUUCCUAAAGCUUCACUGGACCAAGCUGGUGGAAUCCAGUCAGGAGCCAAAAAAGAGACCAGAUACGUUUCCUAAUGUUGUUUUAAUGUUUGUCUGCCUAAAACAUGCCUUCUCGGGGUAUGUACAGUUGCACAACAUCAAGUCAAUAACCCAUUUAUGGGUUUAAAAAAAAAAAUCCCUUGUGGGAGUUUAUGCCCAGCGUCUCACACUUGACUCCACCAAUAUAAAUCGUUCUUUGGCUAGCUGUGAUAUUUGGAAAAGUGUGACAAGAAUGUAACGCGGUUAAGCUAUUUCUGUCUGUGUGUGACCAGGGAAAGUGAGAGUCUGUAUGUUAUAAUCGAUGUGUGACACAAAUUAUAUGCCCUUCCUGCUCAUCAAUGGGAACAAGCUUUGACCCUGUUCACAUUACUGCAAAAUAACCACUGGGGAAUGUUCCGGAUCAGCGAAUGGUUUGUUACCAUCAGAACCAGAAAAUAUGUUCAAUGAACAGAAGUUCAGACUGCUCAACAUUGCGAUCCUAACAUAGCUCAUGUUUGUACAAUCACCUAGUCUCCUCUUCUAGUUAACAUAAAAAUCCCUAGAUUAAGGUUUUUCUGAUUCUUUUAACAGGUUGUUUUUUAACCUAUGCAUUAUUUUAACUUCUUAAACCCUUUGCACAGUCUUCCAUAGUGACACUUUAAGUUUCCCAAAUGGUGGAAACAAAUCACAGAUUUCUAUGGAAGAUUUACCUGAAGUGUACUGAAACUGGAGUUUCCUUUGAGAAAUUCAAUUUAAAAAGCCCAUUUUGGCUUCUAUUAUGGCCGCUAUAGCUUUAAUCACAAAUUGAGGAACUAUAUAUUAGCAUGUAGGUAGUGUAAAUACAUGGUUCUUGCUUUAAAUGACUUGCUAUCUAAUCAUAUUUGAAUAUGACGUAUUAAAUAUUUGAUGUACUUAAAUAUUUGUUUCAUAAAAUGACACUGCUAUUGGUCACUAGAUACUUCAGAUCACUGUGAAAAUAUAUCCCGGUUUGGCAUCUUUAGACGUCUACAUUACAGCACAAACCACUGUAUGUAUGCUUAUCCUACUUGAAGGUAACCAAUAAGACAAGCUACUUGAUGGUGCUUGGUUGCAUGUGAUGGUAGGACCAUGGAUAUUGACUUGAUAAAUUAAGAUGGCUGCCUAGAAUCAGGUUUUCCUUACCCGCUUAUACCCUCAAGGCCUGUUUCCUGGACAUAGAUUAAUCUUUGUCCUGGACUAGGAAACAUUUUCAAUGGAGAUUAUGUUUUUAGUUCAAGACUAGGCUUAAUAUGUGUCCGGGAAACCGUCAAUCUUUUCCUCAGGUACAUAGGAAGACAUUCCUUCUCUUAUUCCAGGGUCACAGUCCCAUCUCUAUGAAUCAGACUUCUCAUUGUUGUUGUUUAUGAUGCUAUUUAUUCAUUAAACUAUUUUUGCG
rnacentral:lncRNA from 1 species